rnacentral:rRNA from 1 species
AUUGAACGCUGGCGGCAGGCCUAACACAUGCAGUCGAGCGGUAGCACAGGAGAGCUUGCUCUCUGGGUGACGAGCGGCGGACGGGUGAGUAAUGUCUGGGAAACUGCCUGAUGGAGGGGGAUAACUACUGGAAACGGUAGCUAAUACCGCAUAACGUCUUCGGACCAAAGUGGGGGACCUUCGGGCCUCACGCCAUCAGAUGUGCCCAGAUGGGAUUAGCUAGUAGGUGGGGUAAUGGCUCACCUAGGCGACGAUCCCUAGCUGGUCUGAGAGGAUGACCAGCCACACUGGAACUGAGACACGGUCCAGACUCCUACGGGAGGCAGCAGUGGGGAAUAUUGCACAAUGGGCGCAAGCCUGAUGCAGCCAUGCCGCGUGUGUGAAGAAGGGCUUCGGGUUGUAAAGCACUUUCAGCGAGGAGGAAGGAGUAGUGUGUUAAUAGCACAUUGCAUUGACGUUACUCGCAGAAGAAGCACCGGCUAACUCCGUGCCAGCAGCCGCGGUAAUACGGAGGGUGCAAGCGUUAAUCGGAAUUACUGGGCGUAAAGCGCACGCAGGCGGUUUGUUAAGUCAGAUGUGAAAUCCCCGCGCUUAACGUGGGAACUGCAUUUGAAACUGGCAAGCUAGAGUCUUGUAGAGGGGGGUAGAAUUCCAGGUGUAGCGGUGAAAUGCGUAGAGAUCUGGAGGAAUACCGGUGGCGAAGGCGGCCCCUGGACAAAGACUGACGCUCAGGUGCGAAAGCGUGGGGAGCAAACAGG